rnacentral:rRNA from 1 species
CCGGCAAACGGGUGCGUAACACGUACGCAACUUACCCAUUACAGGGGAAUAGCCCAGGGAAACUUGGAUUAAUACCCCAUAUUAUAUGAGAUUGGCAUCAGUCUCAUAUCAAAGCUUCGGCGGUAAUGGAUGGGCGUGCGGUUGAUUAGAUAGUUGGCGGGGUAACGGCCCACCAAGUCUACGAUCAAUAGCUGAUGUGAGAGCAUGAUCAGCCACACGGGCACUGAGACACGGGCCCGACUCCUACGGGAGGCAGCAGUAAGGAAUAUUGGGCAAUGGACGAAAGUCUGACCCAGCCAUGCCGCGUGAAGGAUGAAGGUCCUCUGGAUUGUAAACUUCUUUUAUCUGGGGCGAAAACCAUCCUUUCUAGGAUGCUUGACAGUACCAGAGGAAUAAGCACCGGCUAACUCCGUGCCAGCAGCCGCGGUAAUACGGAGGGUGCAAGCGUUAUCCGGAUUUACUGGGUUUAAAGGGUGCGUAGGCGGGCAGGUAAGUCAGUGGUGAAAUCCCCGAGCUUAACUCGGGAACUGCCGUUGAUACUAUCUGUCUUGAAUAUCGUGGAGGUAAGCGGAAUAUGUCAUGUAGCGGUGAAAUGCUUAGAUAUGACAUAGAACACUAAUUGCGAAGGCAGCUUGCUACACUAUUAUUGACGCUGAGGCACGAAAGCGUGGGGAUCAAACAGGAUUAGAUACCCUGGUAGUCCACGCCCUAAACGAUGAUUACUCGACAUCAGCGAUACACUGUUGGUGUCUAAGCUAAAGCAUUAAGUAAUCCACCUGGGAAGUACGAUCGCAAGAUUGAAA